rnacentral:misc_RNA from 1 species
UUAAGUUCAGCGGGUAUCCCUACCUGAUCCGAGGUCAAACUAAAAAAGUUGGGGUUUCUGGCAAAUGUUCACCGGUCCCUAUAGCGAGGUUUUUACUGCGCUCAGGAGCCCGACGGCACCGCCACUAAUUUUAAGGCGCGCUGGGUAAGCAGCGGAGCCCAAUACCAAGCUAGGCUUGAGUGUUGUAAUGACGCUCGAAC